rnacentral:rRNA from 1 species
GAUCCUAAGUUGCGCGGCGGCGACUCUGGACGUGCGCGGGCCCUUCUCGCGGAUCUCCCCAGCUACGGCGCG